GACGAACGCUGGCGGCGUGCUUAACACAUGCAAGUCGAACGAAGAGCGAUGGAAGCUUGCUUCUAUCAAUCUUAGUGGCGAACGGGUGAGUAACGCGUAAUCAACCUGCCCUUCAGAGGGGGACAACAGUUGGAAACGACUGCUAAUACCGCAUACGAUCUAAUCUCGGCAUCGAGGAUAGAUGAAAGGUGGCCUCUAUGUAUAAGCUAUCACUGAAGGAGGGGAUUGCGUCUGAUUAGCUAGUUGGAGGGGUAACGGCCCACCAAGGCGAUGAUCAGUAGCCGGUCUGAGAGGAUGAACGGCCACAUUGGGACUGAGACACGGCCCAGACUCCUACGGGAGGCAGCAGUGGGGAAUCUUCCGCAAUGGACGAAAGUCUGACGGAGCAACGCCGCGUGAGUGAUGACGGCCUUCGGGUUGUAAAGCUCUGUUAAUCGGGACGAAAGGCCUUCUUGCGAAUAGUGAGAAGGAUUGACGGUACCGGAAUAGAAAGCCACGGCUAACUACGU
rnacentral:rRNA from 1 species